CCUACGGGUGGCAGCAGUGGGGAAUAUUGCACAAUGGGGGAAACCCUGAUGCAGCGACGUCGCGUGAAGGAAGAAGUAUUUCGGUAUGUAAACUUCUAUCAGCAGGGAAGAAAAUGACGGUACCUGACUAAGAAGCCCCGGCUAACUAGGUGCCAGCAGCCGUGGUAAUACGUAGGGGGCAAGCGUUAUCCGGAUUUACUGGGUGUAAAGGGGGCGUAGGCGGUUUAGCAAGUCAGAUGUGAAAUCCGGGGGCUCAACCCGCGAACUGCAUUUGAAACUGGUGGGCUUGAGUAUCGGAAAGGCAGGCGGAAUUCCUAGUGUAGCGGUGAAAUGCGUAGAUAUUAGGAAGAACACCGAUGGCGAAGGCAGCCUGCUGGACGACAACUGACGGUGAGGCGCGAAAGCGUGGGUAGCGAACAGGAUUAGAUACCCCAGUAGUC
rnacentral:rRNA from 1 species